GUGUUUCCUUUGGCAGCACAUAUAUAUCGAACAUCGGUAUGUUACAGAGAUUACUGUGGCCCCUGAGUAAGGAUGACAUGCAAAUUCUGUAAGUGUUUCAGAUUAAA
rnacentral:snRNA from 1 species